AACGAACGCUGGCGGCAGGCUUAACACAUGCAAGUCGAGCGCCCCGCAAGGGGAGCGGCAGACGGGUGAGUAACGCGUGGGAAUCUACCGAGCCCUGCGGAAUAGCUCCGGGAAACUGGAAUUAAUACCGCAUACGCCCUACGGGGGAAAGAUUUAUCGGGGUUUGAUGAGCCCGCGUUGGAUUAGCUAGUUGGUGGGGU
rnacentral:rRNA from 1 species